rnacentral:lncRNA from 1 species
AUGAUCAUUUGCAACAUCAGUGCAAUAAAAGAUUGGAGCACUUUUCUCUCACAAAUCCUCCCCAGUGUCAACAAGACACUCAACUUGUUGCAGCAAGUAGAAGCUACUACCAGUUCUGUGGUGAGUGUUCUGCAGGAUCCGGAUCAAGCAGACUACCUGUCCAACAACCAGUCCAUGAAUGCUAGUAACUUUACUACUGGACUGGACCACCUUUUUCAGUAUUCAUAUUCAGACGAUGACCAGCUUUACAAGGAGUACAAGCCCCCUCCUCGGGAUGCAAUCCCUUUGCCAAAGGCAGUCCUUUAUCUUCUUAUGGCUGCACUUGUGGUGGUUGCAGUGGCCUAUGCCAUUGUUGGGCAUCUCAUCAAGGAUCUUGUCCAUGAUUUGAUAGGAAGAAAAAUCUAUAUGAAAUAUUAUUAUUACAAGUUUUGGAGUUUGGGAAGUUAACUUAAAAAAAACCAGUUUGAGCAAGGAGUGAGACUGUGUCUUAACAUGGGCACUUAAAGGUAAAUCUCAGAAGGUUUAUUUCCAAAUAAGUAUGCAUAGGAUUACAGCUUUAUAGCAGCUAUAUUCCCCUAAGUUAUUCUGAACAAACAUUAUUCUGUAAUCUGCAUGUAUGGAUUGCUAUAAAAAUAUAAAUCUGCUGAUUUAGGAAAAAUGUAGAAUUCGGCAGCAUAAUUUUAAUUAUAUCCACUCGAAAUUUG